CCUACGGGAGGCAGCAGUGAGGAAUAUUGGACAAUGGGCGCAAGCCUGAUCCAGCCAUGCCGCGUGCAGGAUGACGGUCCUAUGGAUUGUAAACUGCUUUUGUACAGGAAGAAACAGUUCUACGUGUAGAACCUUGACGGUACUGUAAGAAUAAGGAUCGGCUAACUCCGUGCCAGCAGCCGCGGUAAUACGGAGGAUCCAAGCGUUAUCCGGAAUCAUUGGGUUUAAAGGGUCCGUAGGCGGUUUAGUAAGUCAGUGGUGAAAGCCCAUCGCUCAACGGUGGAACGGCCAUUGAUACUGCUAAACUUGAAUUAUUAGGAAGUAACUAGAAUAUGUAGUGUAGCGGUGAAAUGCUUAGAGAUUACAUGGAAUACCAAUUGCGAAGGCAGGUUACUACUAAUUGAUUGACGCUGAUGGACGAAAGCGUGGGUAGCGAACAGGAUUAGAUACCCUGGUAGUCCACGCCGUAAACGAUGGAUACUAGCUGUUGGAAGCAAUUUCAGUGGCUAAGCGAAAGUGAUAAGUAUCCCACCUGGGGAGUACGUUCGCAAGAAUGAAACUCAAAGGAAUUAGACGG
rnacentral:rRNA from 1 species